rnacentral:misc_RNA from 1 species
UCUCCGUAGGUGAACCUGCGGGAGGAUCAUUAAAGGAGGGGUGGUUGGGGGGUGAUGGUGUAAAAGCUGUUGCUCCUAUUCCUUUCCAUAAAUUAGUGGGUCAGUAGUUUACUGCUGAUUCCAUUAGACCAGUGUAUUGUAUAUUUUGCUUGGUGGGAGAUCAGUUGUGGUAGAAAUACCGCAAAGGAACCCACCAGUAUUUACAUCCAUCAUAACAAUAACCGAUAUCUUUAACAACACUUUACAACUGUUGACAACGGAUCACUCGGCUCUCGCAUCGAUGAGGAACGCAGC